rnacentral:rRNA from 1 species
UAGGGAAUCUUCCGCAAUGGACGCAAGUCUGACGGAGCAACGCCGCGUGAGUGAAGAAGGAUUUCGGUUCGUAAAACUCUGUUGUUAGAGAAGAACAGCGCAUAGAGUAACUGUUAUGCGUGUGACGGUAUCUAACCAGAAAGCCACGGCUAACUACGUGCCAGCAGCCGCGGUAAUACGUAGGUGGCAAGCGUUGUCCGGAUUUAUUGGGCGUAAAGCGAGCGCAGGCGGUCAAUUAAGUCUGAUGUGAAAGCCCCCGGCUCAACCGGGGAGGGUCAUUGGAAACUGGUUGACUUGAGUGCAGAAGAGGAGAGUGGAAUUCCAUGUGUAGCGGUGAAGUGCGUAGAUAUAUGGAGGAACACCAGUGGCGAAGGCGACUCUCUGGUCUGUAACUGACGCUGAGGCUCGAAAGCGUGGGUAGCAAACAGG